CUUCGCAUAUCUACCGUUAAAGGAUGCAUUCCUAGCCUUGAACGGGAAAGAUCAGCUGUUGUUCUGUCAUUCUAAGGUUGGCUUCUGGUAAAGGAUCCAUAUCCGGUUUCGGAACAUUGAAUCGGGGGCAGAGCGAGGACGAUAAAGCGAACCGACUCUAGCAAAGUCAGGCACUGCGUUUCUUGUUGGGUUGUUCCGCUGCCUUCCUUCAACGUCGUACGCCGGCGAUCUACUGAUCUAUCGGCCUUCCCAGGCGGUUCUGUUCAUUUGUAAGUUAGCAGGAUGUCAACCACUUCUCUCUCAUCUGCUUGCCCACUUCGGAGCCAUGUUAAGCUCCAGCCUUCCUCUCAGCUAAUUAAGAGCCCAUCCUCACUAAGCUCCUUGAAGUGCAUCUCAAAGGCUUCAGCACUCAAGGUAUCCAACAGCUUCAGGGCUUCUGCUAUGGCAGUAUACAAGGUGAAACUGAUUGACCCAGAGGGGGUUGAACAUGAGUUUGAAGCUUCAGGUGAUACCUACAUUCUAGAUGCAGCUGAGGAUGCUGGAAUCGAGCUGCCAUACUCCUGCAGAGCUGGGGCAUGCUCCACAUGCGCUGGUCAAAUGGUGUCCGGCAAAGUGGAUCAGUCCGAUGGCUCCUUCCUUGAUGAAACACAGAUGGAAAAGGGUUAUCUCUUGACUUGUGUCUCCUACCCCAAAUCCGAUGUUGUUAUCCACACCCACAAGGAAAGCGAACUCUAUUGAUUAGUUCCAGUCAGUCCAUUCUAUCUUUAAUGUGGCUGAAAUAAUAAGCGAUUUGUACUCUUCAAUUGGGGUUCAUUUGCUACGAGAGACGUGCUGCUGUUAAGUGAGAUUAUUGAACUCCUUUCUCUUUGUUAAUCUGUGAUGUAGCUGAUACGACGUGUUCAGACUCUAAAGGUCUAUUUUCGUUGCAA